GGCGCUAUAGCCAAGUGGUUACGGCGACAGAUUCGAAUUGUUUGAACGGUCGAUCAUCUGUUCCUCUUUGAGGGCGCAGGUUCGAAUCCUGCUGGCGUCG